GACGAACGCUGGCGGCGUGCUUAACACAUGCAAGUCGAGCGGUAAGGCCCUUUCGGGGGUACGACGAGCGGCGAACGGGUGAGUAACACGUGGGUGACCUGCCCUCAGCUCUGGGAUAAGCCUGGGAAACCGGGGUCUAAUACCGGAUAUGACUCCAUGACGCAUGUUGUGGGGUGGAAAGCCUUGUGCGGCUGAGGAUGGGCCCGCGGCCUAUCAGCUUGUUGGUGGGGUGAUGGCCUACCAAGGCGACGACGGGUAGCCGGCCUGAGAGGGCGACCGGCCACACUGGGACUGAGACACGGCCCAGACUCCUACGGGAGGCAGCAGUGGGGAAUCUUGCGCAAUGGGCGAAAGCCUGACGCAGCGACGCCGCGUGAGGGAUGACGGCCUGG
rnacentral:rRNA from 1 species